GUCCAAGUGGCGGAAUAGGCAGACGCGCCAGCUUGAGGUGCGGGUGCCCGGGAUAGGGCAUGGGGGUUCAAGUCCCCCCUUGGACA
rnacentral:tRNA from 1 species